GAAAGGCGUGGUUCUAGAUGGGAGCAGAAGACUUGUUGACCCUGGAUGCAUUGCUCACAGUAUCUUAUGCCCUAACACUGGCCCAACACACAUUCUAGAAGCCCGGAGAAGGGAGCAGGACAGACAGACAUCUGGGGUCUUCAAACGGCUGCCUGCCCUGUGGAGUUGGGUCUCAGUGACUUGCAGCAUGAUUCUGAAUGAAGAGAGCCUGGCUGUCUUAGGGUUUCUCUGUAUAGCCCCGGCUGUCCUGGA